rnacentral:rRNA from 1 species
UACGUAGGGUGCGAGCGUUAAUCGGAAUUACUGGGCGUAAAGCGUGCGCAGGCGGUCUUGUAAGCCAGAUGUGAAAGCCCCGGGCUUAACCUGGGAAUGGCAUUUGGGACUGCAAGGCUUGAGUGCGGCAGAGGAGACUGGAAUUCCUGGUGUAGCAGUGAAAUGCGUAGAUAUCAGGAGGAAUACCGAUGGCGAAGGCAGGUCUCUGGGCUGACACUGACGCUCAUGCACGAAAGCGUGGGGAGCAAACAGG